rnacentral:rRNA from 1 species
AACGAACGCUGGCGGCAUGCCUAACACAUGCAAGUCGAACGAGACCUUCGGGUCUAGUGGCGCACGGGUGCGUAUCGCGUGGGAACCUGCCCUUAGGUUCGGAAUAACUCCCCGAAAGGGGUGCUAAUACCGGAUAAUGUCUUCGGACCAAAGAUUUAUCGCCUUUGGAUGGGCCCGCGUUGGAUUAGCUAGUUGGUAGGGUAAAAGCCUACCAAGGCGACGAUCCAUAGCUGGUCUGAGAGGAUGAUCAGCCACACUGGGACUGAGACACGGCCCAGACUCCUACGGGAGGCAGCAGUGGGGAAUAUUGGACAAUGGGCGAAAGCCUGAGCCAGCAAUGCCGCGUGAGUGAUGAAGGCCUUAGGGUUGUAAAGCUCUUUUACCCGGGAUGAUAAUGACAGUACCGGGAGAAUAAGCUCCGGCUAACUCCGUG